rnacentral:tRNA from 1 species
GGGGUUGUGGCUUAGUGGUAGAGCGAGCGCUUGCUUCCCACGCAUGAGGCCCUGGGUUUGAUCCUCAGCACCA